CAGCGCGCUGGCGGCGGGCCGGGAGCCGAUCGCCGCGCUGGCGGCGCGGCUGGGCUUCUCCGAGGACACCGCGUUCCACCGCGCGUUCCGGC
rnacentral:tRNA from 1 species